AACGAACGCUGGCGGCAUGCCUAACACAUGCAAGUCGAACGAUACCUUCGGGUCUAGUGGCGCACGGGUGCGUAACGCGUGGGAACCUUCCCUUAGGUUCGGAAUAACUCCCCGAAAGGGGUGCUAAUACCGGAUAAUUUCUUCGGACCAAAGAUUUAUCGCCUUUGGAUGGGCCCGCGUUGGAUUAGCUAGUUGGUAGGGUAAAAGCCUACCAAGGCGAAGAUCCAUAGCUGGUCUGAGAGGAUGAUCAGCCACACUGGGACUGAGACACGGCCCAGACUCCUACGGGAGGAAGCAGUGGGGAAUAUUGGACAAUGGGCGAAAGAAUGAUCCAGCAAUGCCGCGUGAGUGAUGAAGGACUUAGGGUUGUAAAGCUCUUUUACCCGGGAUGAUAAUGACAGUACCGGGAGAAUAAGCGCCGGCUAACUCCGUG
rnacentral:rRNA from 1 species